rnacentral:sRNA from 1 species
AGGAAACCUGCUGCUUUCUAAGAGUACCCUCCGAGGCCUCGGGCUCUGCGCUUUCCUGCUUCCAGCCUUCGAAGCUCUCUCUGGGUGGCUUUCUUCCUCAUGGUUACAGUGGUGGCUGCUGGAGCACCUGCAUCUCGUCUCUGAGGCAGCUUCGAAGGUGUUUAUCCUGUGACUGACCCCGAAAGCCAAGAUGCAAGGAAGAAAGAAUAACUCAGAACCAAGCAGACGAGAGGGAAGUGAAACAGAAUUAAUUAGGCGGAUCAGAGCUGUUGGACACCAGGACCCCGGGUUCCUUGGUCAUGUGCCCAGGCAGUAAAAUCUGAUUGGGUCAUCUUUAGAGAUGUUCAUCUCUUGUCCAGUCAGCACCAGGAAUGGGCACAUUAUGCAGACAGAGUCUGCUGCAGUGCACUGUGGGUAAGGUGCUUCUCGUGACUGCCUGAGAUUUGCACUCAUGCAAGUGGACACUUGCAGCUCAUCUGCUGUUCUCCCAGCUGCGG